AAAGUCGUAACAAGGUUUCCGUAGGUGAACCUGCGGAAGGAUCAUUACCGAAUGGACCACCUUCCUGUGGUGGCUGGUGGGGCGCCUUUGGACGCCGGCCAGUCUUGCCACGCAUCCCUCUCAAACCCCCCGUCAUUGCAUGGUUCGUGCGGGGUUUUCUCCCCCCCUCGAAUGUUGGAAAUAUGAAAAAUACAACUUUCAACAACGGAUCUCUUGGCUCUC
rnacentral:misc_RNA from 1 species